GACGAACGCUGGCGGCGUGCUUAACACAUGCAAGUCGAACGAAGAGCGAUGGAAGCUUGCUUCUAUCAAUCUUAGUGGCGAACGGGUGAGUAACGCGUAAUCAACCUGCCCUUCAGAGGGGGACAACAGUUGGAAACGACUGCUAAUACCGCAUACGAUCUAACCUCGGCAUCGAGGAAAGAUGAAAGGUGGCCUCUAUGUAUAAGCUAUCACUGAAGGAGGGGAUUGCGUCUGAUUAGCUAGUUGGAGGGGUAACGGCCCACCAAGGCGAUGAUCAGUAGCCGGUCUGAGAGGAUGAACGGCCACAUUGGGACUGAGACACGGCCCAGACUCCUACGGGAGGCAGCAGUGGGGAAUCUUCCGCAAUGGACGAAAGUCUGACGGAGCAACGCCGCGUGAGUGAUGACGGCCUUCGGGUUGUAAAGCUCGGUUAAUCGGGACGAAAGGCCUUCUUGCGAAUAGUGAGAAGGAUUGACGGUACCGGAAUAGAAAGCCACGGCUAACUACGUG
rnacentral:rRNA from 1 species